rnacentral:rRNA from 1 species
UACAGCGGGUGCGAGCGUUGUCCGGAAUCACUGGGCGUAAAGGGCGCGUAGGCGGCUUGAUAAGCGUGCGGUGAAAGCCCGGGGCUCAACCCCGGGUCGGCCGUGCGAACUGUCGAGCUGGAGCACUGUAGAGGCAGGUGGAAUUCCGGGUGUAGCGGUGGAAUGCGUAGAGAUCCGGAAGAACACCGGUGGCGAAGGCGGCCUGCUGGGCAGUGGCUGACGCUGAGGCGCGACAGCGUGGGGAGCAAACAGG